GGGUCAGUAGGUUGGUCGUGCCACCGGUACGUACUGGUCUCACUGAUUCCUCCUUCCUGAAGAACCGUAAUGCCAUUAAUUUGGUGUUGCGGGGAAACAGGACUGUUACUUUGAAAAAAUUAGAGUGUUUAAAGCAGGCUAACGCUUGAAUACAUUAGCAUGGAAUAAUGAAAUAGGACGAUCGAUCCUAUUUUGUUGGUUCCUAGGAUUGACGUA
rnacentral:rRNA from 1 species